CCUACGGGAGGCAGCAGUGAGGAAUAUUGGACAAUGGGCGCAAGCCUGAUCCAGCCAUGCCGCGUGCAGGAAGAAGCAUCUAUGGUGUGUAAACUGCUUUUGUACAGGAAGAAACACUCCCUCGUGAGGGAGCUUGACGGUACUGUAAGAAUAAGGACCGGCUAACUCCGUGCCAGCAGCCGCGGUAAUACGGAGGGUCCGAGCGUUAUCCGGAAUCAUUGGGUUUAAAGGGUCCGUAGGCGGUUUAAUAAGUCAGUGGUGAAAUCUGGUCGCUCAACGAUCAAACGGCCAUUGAUACUGUUAGACUUGAAUUAUAAGGAAGUAACUAGAAUAUGUAGUGUAGCGGUGAAAUGCUUAGAUAUUACAUGGAAUACCAAUUGCGAAGGCAGGUUACUACUUAUGGAUUGACGCUGAUGGACGAAAGCGUGGGGAGCGAACAGGAUUAGAUACCCUGGUAGUCCACGCCGUAAACGAUGGAUACUAGCUGUUCGGAGCAAUCUGAGUGGCUAAGCGAAAGUGAUAGAUCCACCUGGGGAGUACGUUGCAAGUUAAUUGAAACUUAAAUUGAAUUGACCGGNNGAGACGNGCGACGACGACGACGAGGGAGGAGG
rnacentral:rRNA from 1 species